CUACGGGUCGCAGCAGUGGGGAAUCUUAGACAAUGGGCGCAAGCCUGAUCUAGCCAUGCCGCGUGAGUGACGAAGGCCUUAGGGUCGUAAAGCUCUUUCGCUGGGGAAGAUAAUGACGGUACCCAGUAAAGAAACCCCGGCUAACUCCGUGCCAGCAGCCGCGGUAAUACGGAGGGGGUUAGCGUUGUUCGGAAUUACUGGGCGUAAAGCGCGCGUAGGCGGAUCGGAAAGUUGGGGGUGAAAUCCCGGGGCUCAACCCCGGAACUGCCUUCAAAACUCCUGGUCUUGAGUUCGGGAGAGGUGAGUGGAAUUCCGAGUGUAGAGGUGAAAUUCGUAGAUAUUCGGAGGAACACCAGUGGCGAAGGCGGCUCACUGGCUCGAUACUGACGCUGAGGUUCGAAAGCGUGGGGAGCAAACAGGAUUAGAUACCCCGGUAGUC
rnacentral:rRNA from 1 species